CAGUCGCCGCGGGAAUACAGAGGGUGCGAGCGUUAAUCGGAUUUACUGGGCGUAAAGCGUGCGUAGGCGGCUAAUUGAGUCGGAUGUGAAAUCCCCGAGCUUAACUUGGGAAUUGCAUUCGAUACUGGUUAGCUAGAGUGUGGGAGAGGAUGGUAGAAUUCCAUGUGUAGCGGUGAAAUGCGUAGAGAUCUGGAGGAAUACCGAUGGCGAAGGCAGCCAUCUGGCCUAACACUGACGCUGAGGUACGAAAGCAUGGGGAGCAAACAGGAUUAGAUACCCCAGUAGUCCCUGUCUCUUAUAU
rnacentral:rRNA from 1 species